AUGGACUCAGGUGCUACCGCGCACAUGACAGCUCAUCCCGGUAACCUAACCUCCUCCACUCCCGUUCACACACCCACUCGUAUCACCGUCGGUAACGGCUCCUCCUUACCUAUUACUCAUAUCGGUAGCGCUAGUUUUCCCUCCACUUCCACACCCAUCAAUAUGUCUAAUGUUCUUGUUUCACCAGACUUAGUCACGAACCUAGUUUCCGUUCGUCGUCUUACUCGUGAGAACCCACUCACUGUUGAAUUUGACGGCGUUGGCUUUUCUGUGAAAGACGCCCGUACCCGGAUGGUUCUUCACCAUUGUGACAGUCCCGAUGAGCUCUACCCCGUGCACGCCGGCGCC
rnacentral:rRNA from 1 species